AUGGAUUGCUUUGUUCAGGAGAAGUUAACUGAAUGGCAGCUUCCAGAACUUGUUAAUAGUUUUGAAGAACAGGCAAUUGAUGAGGAGAGUUUUUUGCUUUUAGAUGAGGGGACCAUUAACUGCCUAAUUCCAAAGAUCGGUCUUAGGCUGAAGUUCCUGAAAUACUACAAAGAAUUUAAAGAAAAUGUUGUGCCCUCCACUGCCCCAAUUACAAGCCCAAAUGAGCCCCCAACUCCCACACCUCCUUGCCAAAGAGAAGUUGAUGCAACAAUGCUGGAUCCGGAUACACCUAUUGUUUUGCAUGUCAUCCCAUUUUUUGAUGUCCGCACAAUCCUCACCAACUCAUAUGAAGGCAGGCUGAUUGUUGAGAGUCUUGAUAAGGACAGUUUUGUCACCAUAAAACAGAGACGUUGCAUGAUCAGAAUUUUAGUGUCAUACCUAAUUGAGAAAUUUGGAGAAACACCAAGCUCGGACACAAAAAAGGGUCUAGCAUCUGCCUUGGUACAAGCAUUCCCCUGUCUGCACGAUAAAACUGCUGGUGGUUAUGAAACAUGGUAUGCCCAAUGCCGAAAUAAUAGACCAGCCACUGGGUUCAUUGAAGAGAGACUGAGGAAUAUACGAAAGCGACUGAGGCGCUUGAGACGACCACAAGGAGAGAAAGAAGAUGCACCAUGCAGGACAGUCAUGCCAGUAGAAUCAACGAUAUCUGAAGAGAGAGCUGAGGAAAUUAAACAAUGGCUGAGAAACAACACUCAGCCCAUCAGCCAAGUGGAACAGUACAUGCGAGAAACUGCCUUGUACAGGGCGCAGUGGAUGAGGGCAAACAACUCAAAAAAUAUGUUUGAGGUCCUCCAUGAGUUUCCUCGGCUAACUACCCCAGGCAUGAUUGCACAGGACUUUCACAUUUUACAUCAAGAUGCAUCUCCAAAACUGUUUGAAAAAUGGCUCCCUUGGUAUACUGACAGGAUCUUGCUUUUUGCGAAGCGAGAAGCAAAGCUUCCAUGUACAGCUGAAGAAAUGACAGAAGAUGCAAAGGGAAAUCUUGCACUAAAGCUGUUACCUGUUUUGCUUCCACCUCCACCCUACAAAAUUGGCAGAAAAAAACAGUCCGGCCCAGCAUUGAUGAAAGCAAAAAAGCUUUCAUUGACAUUCAACCUGUUGGAACAAAUAUGGUGGAGUACCUCCAGCAGGCUGAAGCAUCAAGACCUUACCCUUAUGUCCUGUCCCUUGAAAAUGGACACAUUGACUCGCAGGCAUUUGUCAUCCUCGCAGGAGAAGCUUUGGAGCAAAGCACUCUCAUUGGGGCAGUAGAUGUAUGCUUCAAAUCGUUUUAUGUUUUUGAUGUAAACUACCCAAAACAGUGUUUCUAUAGUUGGGAGUUUAUUCAAAAUAUUUAUGAGUUGGAGGGAAGUGAAUCCCCAACAGUGAAAUUUUUACACUCUGCACUACAUUCUUGCAAGUAGAUAAGAGGUUCUUUGAACAAACAGUGGUUCAAGUACACAAGGUAGCAUUUUUAGUUUUUAAUUUUAUUUGCACAUGAGAUUUUUUUGGUGUUUUUGAUUUUUUUGUAUAAACAGCUGUUUUAUUGCUUGAGGAAGAGUAUUACUUUAUGUGCACAUACUGAUGAUUAUCAGUUACAUUUUUAUGUAGAAAUGUUUUACUGCCAAUACGUUGUAUUUCAUAGUUUUAUUUUUGUUCAUUUUGUAGACUAAAAACAACAGGUUCAUAAUGUAGACUAAAAACAAAUAUGCUUUGUAACAAACAGUUGUUCUUGAGGUACAGUAUUUUAGAGUUUUAAUUUCAUGUGCAUAUGGAUUAAAAAUAAUAUGAAUUAUUUGUUAAACAAUGUAUUACUAAACCUUGAGGUUCUUUUGGAGUUCAUGAUUUUUAAAAAAUGUUUAAAACAUUUACAGUUUUUCAACUACAGAGGCAAACCAUAAAAAUGAAAGAAAUUGUU
ensembl:lncRNA